rnacentral:tRNA from 1 species
AACUCCGUGGCCGAGUGGGCAUCACACUAGGCUUGCAAGUUGGAGGUCCCGGGUUCGAUUCCUGGCGGGGUCG